UAGAGUUUGAUCAUGGCUCAGAUUGAACGCUGGCGGCAGGCCUAACACAUGCAAGUCGAGCGGCAGCACAGGGGAACUUGUUCCCUGGGUGGCGAGCGGCGGACGGGUGAGUAAUGGCUGGGAACCUGCCCUGAUGUGGGGGAUAACAGUUGGAAACGACUGCUAAUACCGCAUGAUGUCUACGGACCAAAGAGGAGGACCUUCGGGCUUCUCGCGUCCGGAUGGGCCCAGUUGGGAUUAGCUAGUUGGUAGGGUAAUGGCCUACCAAGGCGACGAUCCCUAGCUGGUUUGAGAGGAUGAUCAGCCACACUGGAACUGAGACACGGUCCAGACUCCUACGGGAGGCAGCAGUGGGGAAUAUUGCACAAUGAGCGCAAGCCUGAUGCAGCCAUGCCGCGUGUGUGAAGAAGGCCUUCGGGUUGUAAAGCACUUUCAGCAGUGAGGAAGGUGGUGUAGUUAAUACCUGCAUCAUUUGACGUUAGCUGCAGAAGAAGCACCGGCUAACUCCGUGCCAGCAGCCGCGGUAAUACGGAGGGUGCGAGCGUUAAUCGGAAUUACUGGGCGUAAAGCGCAUGCAGGCGGUCUGUUAAGCAAGAUGUGAAAGCCCCGGGCUUAACCUGGGAACCGCAUUUUGAACUGGCAGGCUAGAGUCUUGU
rnacentral:rRNA from 1 species